rnacentral:pre_miRNA from 1 species
NNNGUGUGAAUGGUGUUCAGUACCAAUGACAGGUAUGUUAACCUGUAUAUGAAUGAUGUUCAGCACCAAGGACAGACGAGAUUAUCU